rfam:Salmo salar isolate Sally breed double haploid chromosome ssa11, whole genome shotgun sequence.
UGCUCUCACUACUGUAAGUCGCUCUGGAUAAGAGCACCGGCUAAAUGACUAAAA